rnacentral:rRNA from 1 species
GACGAACGCUGGCGGCGUGCUUAAUACAUGCAAGUCGAACGGAAAGGCCCUGCUUUUGCGGGGUGCUCGUGUGCCGAACGGGUGAGUAACACGCGAGUAACCUGCCCCUGACUUUGGGAUAACUUCAGGAAACUGGGGCUAAUACCGCAUAGGAUCUCCUGCUCCACGGUGGGGGAUGGAAAGUUUCGGCGGUUGGGGCUGGACUCGCAGCUUAUCAGCUUGUUGGUGUGGUAGGGACUUACCAAGUCUUUGACGGGUAGCCGGCCUGAGAGGGUGACCGGGGACAUGGGGACUAAGAGACGGCCCAGACGCGUACGGGAGGCAGCAGUGGGGAACAUUGCGCAGUGAGCGGAAGCCAGAUGCAGCGACGCCGGGUGCGGGAUACCGGCCUACGGGGUGUAAACCGCUUUCGCCUGUGACGAGGCGAGAGUGACGGUAAUGGGUAAAGAAGCACCGGCUAACUACGUG